rnacentral:rRNA from 1 species
UACGUAGGGUGCGAGCGUUGUCCGGAAUUACUGGGCGUAAAGAGCUCGUAGGUGGUUUGUCGCGUUGUUCGUGAAAUCUCACGGCUUAACUGUGAGCGUGCGGGCGAUACGGGCAGACUAGAGUACUGCAGGGGAGACUGGAAUUCCUGGUGUAGCGGUGGAAUGCGCAGAUAUCAGGAGGAACACCGGUGGCGAAGGCGGGUCUCUGGGCAGUAACUGACGCUGAGGAGCGAAAGCGUGGGUAGCAAACAGG